CUCUGUCGUAACAUUGUUUAUUAGAUAACUUCAAAAUUUUUGAGGCAAUGGCUUAUGACUCUCAUGCUUCACAGUUUCAGGUACAAUUUGCUAUUGAAAUGGAAUAUCAUUUUUAUAUAGGUGGAAGACAAUACUAUUAGCGUUGCAACCAGAGUUGCUUAGUGCUAAGCAACUCUUUACAAUGAUUUACAAGCAUUGAAAAGGGAUCUGCAAAAAAGUGUGGCAUUCCUAGCCCAGGAUAACUACUUUUUGGCUGGAUUCUAAAGCUCAAUAUAACUAUUUCAAAGGGUCUUCUUAUCUUUAAAGAGCAGUGAUUUCAAGGAUAUUGAACUAUUAUUAUUUUAAUUGUGUAAUUAAAUGAAAUCAGUAUCUCAGUAUAGUGUUGCAUGCAAUAGCACUGAUAAAAAUUAAUCAUAAAAUUUCA